rnacentral:rRNA from 1 species
AUACGUAGGUGGCAAGCGUUGUCCGGAAUUAUUGGGCGUAAAGCGCGCGCAGGUGGUUCCUUAAGUCUGAUGUGAAAGCCCCCGGCUCAACCGGGGAGGGUCAUUGGAAACUGGGGAACUUGAGUGCAGAAGAGGAUAGUGGAAUUCCAAGUGUAGCGGUGAAAUGCGUAGAGAUUUGGAGGAACACCAGUGGCGAAGGCGACUGGUUGGUCUGUAACUGACACUGGGGCGCGAAAGCGUGGGGAGCAAACAGGAUUAGAUACCCUGGUAGUCCACGCCGUAAACGAUGAGUGCUAAGUGUUGGGGGGUUUCCGCCCCUCAGUGCUGCAGCUAACGCAUUAAGCACUCCGCCUGGGGAGUACGGUCGCAAGACUGAAACUCAAAGGAAUUGACGGGG